GUGCCAGCCGCCGCGGUAAGACGAAGGUGGCAAGCGUUGUUCGGAUUCACUGGGCAUAAAGGGCGCGUAGGCGGUUCCGAAAGUGGCGCGUGAAAGCCCCCGGCUCAACCGGGGAAGUGCGCGCCAAACUUCGGUUCUCGAGGGCGGUAGGGGGGACUGGAACUCUCGGUGGAGCGGUGAAAUGCGUAGAUAUCGAGAGGAACACCGGUGGCGAAGGCGAGUCCCUGGUCCGCUUCUGACGCUGAGGCGCGAAAGCGUGGGUAGCAAACAGGAUUAGAAACCCCCGUAGUCC
rnacentral:rRNA from 1 species